CAAUAGCGUAUAUUAAAGUUGUUGCAGUUAAAAGCUCGUAGUUGGAUUUCUGGGGACGCGGGUUGGCCGCCUCCGCAAGGGGUUGAGCCGCACUCCGCUUCCUCAUCCUCGGGUGGGUCCUUUCUGGCAUUAGGUUGUCGGUGAGGGGAAGCCCGUCGUUUACUGUGAAAAAUUAGAGUGUUCAAAGCAGGCUUAGGCCUUUGAAUACAUUAGCAUGGAAUAAUGAGAUAGGACCAUGGCGUUUUAUUUCGUUGGUUUGCGCGCCAAGGUAAUGAUUAAUAGGGACAGUUGGGGGUAUUCGUAUUCAAUUGUCAGAGGUGAAAUUCUUGGAUUUAUGGAAGACGAACUACUGCGAAAGCAUUUACCAAGGAUGUUUUCAUUAAUCAAGAACGAAAGUUAGGGGAUCGAAGACGAUCAGAUACC
rnacentral:rRNA from 1 species